UAGACUUCUCUUUCCACUAUCGUUCCUUUCCUCUUCUCAUCACCGCAAGAAGCGACUCUGGAGAGCUCAAAUCGCCUGCUAAUUACUUCUCCUACCAGUUCAAGUGGAAAAUGGAGCAGGAUCUCUUGAAAUCAUCGCGCUUCUUCAUCGAUCAGCGCAUUUGGUCUGCAAAAAUCCUCACUCUGUGCAUGGUCUUUAGAUUGAAUACCUCGCUUGUCUUCUUCUUCUUCUUCUUCUUCUUCAACAUUUUGAUGCUUUUUCUUCGAUCUUUAUCCUUCUAUAUGUGUUUCUCGAACGGUGAAUCUAGGUUUUCCUUGCAAUCAUCUGAGGUGAGAGCACUAAUCGAAGUCGCUAUCCUCAAUUUCCUGAAACCCCUCACCGCUCCCAACCCAGUCGUAUCAAAUCUGGCAUUGGUGUGCCUCUUUCUCGAUUUGCAAGCUUGUGAAGGGUUUAGGGUUUUCCAUUUGAUUUUGGAUCCAUUCCUUGAUAUUAUAAUUAAACCGCAGUUUCAUUAUUAGGGGUUCAUCGUGUUUGUUGUAGCUAUACGUCAUUUAUUUUGAGUGAUUUGGGAUCACAGUUUGCUCACUAAUAAUCCCAUCUGACGUGAUAGAUUAACAACAAAUCUAAUGACAACGGGUUCCAUCAAGGGGUUCUUGAGUGAGGUCUCAUCAAUCUAUUCUAUCGCACUCUGUUUGCACAAGAUCUUUCAUGAGAGCACAGGAUGCAAAACCUUUCACAAGAGAUAUAGUUUAUGUAAUUAACUCCCAAUAUCUCGCACUCUACACAUAGCAUGAAUUUCUUGUUCUUGUUGAGUUUCUCUGCAGUAUAGAUGGUCAUGGCGAUGUGCUUCCGCAUUGUCGGGGAGGGGAAGCUUGUCACGCAACGAAAACUUUUCUAUAAGCUUCUUUGUGACUCGCCUGGCUAUUUCACAUCUUAGGAUCAAGUCAACAGAGCAGUACAAGAUGUUGUUGCAUUGCUCCAGUGCACUCGACAUAGUCUAGGUAUCAUGGCUUCUAGCAAAGUUACAAUUGUUGGGAGAUUCCUAUUAGAGGUGCAACUCUGGAACUUUUUGUUUUAAGUGAUCCAGAUUUAUAUUUCAAGUUUAUAUUACUUGUGUCAUAUAUGACGUAGCAUUCACCUUUUAUGUGAAUGCUAUUCACUUAUUAAAUGAACAUUGGAAUAUGAGUGUUGUCUUUUUCCCUUUCUUUUGAUUUAUCCAAACUACUUGAUUGUUGAUUUAUUGUAUGUUUAUAGGAGCUUGGUGAAUAGAAUGUUGAUUGUUCUAUGCUUGGACAAGUUGGCUAUGCUAUAACCGGAGACCUUUAUGCAUUGAACAUAUUUGUCCUUAAUUAUGAUGUGAGAUAUAUCAUCAUAGUAGAGAAGGCAAACUGAGACAUUUUACAAAUUAUGGUGAUAAAUCCUCUCAAUUCCACUAAUAUUAUUUAAUUGAGUAUGAUGCUAUAUUUCAACAAUUAGUAGAAGACCGGUUUUUCGACCAAACCAAUCAAUUAUAAUCACUGCUAAAGGAUACCCUGACAUUGCUACAAGGUUGAUGCAUCCAUUAAUUCAGUAUGAUUUUCUAUCUGAAGUUUUGGUUGUUGGACCACCUCCUCGAUCAAAUAGUAUGCAUUUUUUAGACACUAUUUAAGGAUAUCCUGGUACUAAAAAAAGUAAACUCAAGUGUUAAUUCUACAUGAUUAUUCUCGUCCUCUAUAUGGGAAGAGUUGUUGGAACUUAGGAGAUUAUUGAAGACUAGGUGCAAUGAUUCCAUUUAACUAGGUCAUCUUUCUAUGUCAUUGGUUAUUUAGUCAUGCUUGUGUCAUUAUUAGAUAAAUGAUGCGCAGAGCAAACAAAGGCUAUAUAUAUAUAGCCUUUGUUUGCUUUUUUUUUUUUGUUUUUAUUGCCUUUGUUUGCUCUUGUUUAUAAUUAUUACUAUCUAUAUAAAUGAUUGUUUGCCUUUGUUUAUCUUUGUAGUGAAAUCCCAAUUUUCUUGCCUGUGCACUAUAAGAAAAUUGGGAUUUGUUUACCUCCCUGGAAGUGCUUUGUAGGUGUUUAUGAGUAACAAUAACUAGGACAACAAUUGAAAAUUUGUUCAUUUCUCAUCUCUCGCACAAUUUUUUCAGUCUCCACAUGCUAUAUUGAGGAAACUAUCAUUGGGUUCUAUGAAUCAGUUUAUUAUAGCCAUGCCUACACUAAGUGAAAUACAAUGUCAUACUUGUUCUUCAAUGCUGGACUUAGUUGAAGUUUCCAUAAUCUAGUUUGAAUCAUUUUUUCAAGCUUUGUUUAUGUCCAUGGACAAGUACUUUCAAGGCCUAUUUCAUCUUGCUCAAGAUCCUUCAGCAGAUGUUCAAAAAUUGGUGCGCUAUCUAUCAACUCUUGCAAUUCUUUAGAUUAUUUCUCAUUAAGAUUUAUAAAACUUGGUCGGAGAUGAUAAGGUGGUAGAUAGUACAUAACUAUUAGGCUUAAGAUGCAUCACAUUGAUAACAUUCUUAUAGCAACGUCUUAUUUGCAAAUCAAUGCAUGCUUUUACAACUUAAAUUCGGGCCCAUAUUUGUUGGACAAAUAUCACAAUGGGAAGAUGUUGUGGAAUUCUAAAAUAGUAGCAUCAAUAUUUCUGCUGGCACAACCAUGACAUGGUAACACAUAGUGAAAUGUGAAUAUUGAUUAUAUAAGAUAUUGUAUAUUAAGUCAUGAGUUUGUUCUUAUUGAUGCCUUAUUAUCUUUUACUAUCAAUAUUCCAUUAACAUUUAAUUUUGACAAAGAUUACUAAAACACUUGUUGUUGCUACAGAAUGAAAAUUGAACACUAUGAAAAUUAGGUACACUUUCACUGGGAUUGAUCACAAUCUACUCGACAAUCACUUAACUAGAAAUAUAUCUCAAGGUUUUUUGUGAGAAUGUCAAUCCUCUACCAUCAUUUAACUAGAAAAGCAAAUAUGAUAGCUUGGACUUAUCAUCUGGAGGAUGCACUUGGAGGAAUGAUAGUUUGGUCUUUUCAUCUGGUGACAAGUACUUGGAUUUUGCUUAUAAUAUGAUGGUUGAAGAUGAUUCAUAUUAAAUUAGUUAGAGUUUUUAUUUUACAAGACUUUGUUUGUUCUAAAACUUAAUGUUUUGAGUUCAUUUUAUUAGUAUUUAGCUAGUGUUGGAGUCAAUACUUUUACAUUUGUAUUGCAUUUGUAAAUUUGACUCAAAUGAUUAUUGGAUGAAUAAAAAUUACAUGUGAUGGA